rnacentral:lncRNA from 1 species
ACGUCAUGCAUCGGUAUAACAUAGUUAGUUAAUUCAGAUUCGGCAAAAAUUCGGUACGGGUAUAAUUCGGAUAAAAUUCAUCUUUUAAUUUUUAAAUUCGUUGAAAAAUACGGCUAAAAAACGGAUUUGGUAAUUAUUCGGAUACGUGAUUUAUACGGGUAUUAUACGUUCACCAAUUAAAAAUUCAAAAAAAAAAAUUCGACUAUAUAAUAAAUAUAUAAUAAUUAAUAUACUAUAUAUAUUAUUAUUAUAAUUUUUAUAUAUAGAUUAAAUAUAUUCANGGUCCCGGGGCGUGACAGAUUAGUUUGGUAUCAGAGCCUAGGGUUGAGUCUUAGUGGACCUAGCAAAUCUUAGGCCGGUUGGACUAUAGGAAAUAGGCUCGUGAGAGACGAGAUCUAUUCGACUUGU